UUAGAAAUAUUGUUAACGCCGUCACGGCC
rnacentral:piRNA from 1 species